UCACCAGUAACGAUUUCUUUUAAUGUUUUCCACAGAAGACGCUGUGGACGGGUCAGCGUGUCAACGUGGAGUGACAGGAUGUAGCUCCUGUGCACACGGCUGGAUCUCUGCCUGUGUCAGGGUCUCCCCAUCACUGCCGAGGGGACACUGGGCAGCUGGAAACCCUCAGACAGAGCUCCAGGGAACACACAGGAGUCACAAUUACACACACCUUCCAGGAGGACAAGGAAGAAAGACCAAAGGCCGGUGUAUAAUCAAAGGGGCCAGAAGAUGAGGCCAAUCCAAGGAGGGAAGAGCCUGAGCCAGGCCAGACCUGAGGCCAGAAUGCAGCCAGCCCCCCACACCCGGGAAGCCAGGCCAGCAUCCAGCCCCACACCCAGGAAGCCAAGGGGAGGAGCAAAGAAUGAAGAGAAACUGGGGCAGCAGAUCAUCUGUGUCCUUCGGUGACAUCCAACUGCAGGAAUUGCUCGGAACAGGAAGAAAUGGAUCCAGCAGGGACUCCGGGGUGACGAGGAGGGGCUUUUGUAAAAGGUCUGGUGGUGGGAAAAAAGCUUCAACUAAGUCAAACUUAAUUGGAUGCCUACUAUCUACAAGGCCCUGUGCUGGGCAGGACAAUACCAAGGACCAUCCAUCGUGCAAGUCAUGAAGGCUAAUACUGCAGCUGUGAAAUUUGACUGCAAGCUUCCAGGAAGCAAAAAUAGACACAUGGAGAAUAAAUUACCAUGGAUAGAAUUGCUGGGACAAAAGAUACAUAAAUUUUAAACUGUAGAACACGCAUUUCUGAGUCACUCUUCAGAAAGCAUUCCACUCCCAAACUGCUUGGCAUGGAAGGAUUUCCACAAUGUAUUAAGUGAAA